AUUUCGUCAAAUUGAUCAAUAAAAAUCAGUCGUUGGAAGCAAAGGUGAAAGUAAACGAAGCAAAGUUACGAUUGGCGGGUUCUGUCAGCUCUGAUGCUGAUGUCGCAGGACCAAGUGGAAGUGUUAAACAAGCAGUUGAAGUGUCUGUAAAUGACCAACAAGAAGGUGAAGGAACGGGUGGUGGUGCUGUUCAGUGUGUAGACGUUACUGGGGAUAGUCCGCUUUUCGAUUGCUAC